rnacentral:rRNA from 1 species
GAAAGAUGAAAAGCACCUUGAAAAGAGGGUUAAAUAGUACGUGAAAUUGUUGAAAGGGAAGCGCUUGUGACCAGACUUGGGCGCGGCGGAUCAUCCGGGGUUCUCUCCGGUGCACUUCGCCGCGUCUAGGCCAGCAUCAGUUCGUCGCGGGGGAAAAAGGCUUCGGGAACGUGGCUCCUCCGGGAGUGUUAUAGCCCGUUGCAUAAUACCCUGCGGUGGACUGAGGACCGCGCAUCUGCAAGGAUGCUGGCGUAAUGGUCACCAGCGACCCGUCUUGAAACACGGACCAAGA